AAGCGAUAUUGCAGUUGCAAGAUGACUAGAUGCCUGUAUAUAUGUGCCAACCUCCUCCACCACAUUGAAUCUUCAGUGCACUAAAGCUGUCUUUCAAAAUAGAAAAAUGGCUUCCGGUCUAGUACUUUUCUUCUUUUUUCUCAGUUCUCUUCUCUUCUUGUUUGUCUCUUCUUCCCAUUUUUCUUCUUCAGGAAACAAUGUUGCCAUGAAACCAGCUCCUCCUUUUCAUUCCCAGAAGAAAGCUGUAGCUAAUCCCGAGAAAGUAUCUGUGUCUUUGUAUUAUGAAACCCUAUGUCCCUAUUGCAGGAAUUUCAUUUUGGAUCCUCUCGCAAAGGCCAUCAAGACUGAUCUCAUGACCAUUCUUGAUCUGCAGCUGGUCCCCUGGGGCAAUGCUAUGAUUCUACCCGAUAGUACUGUCUCAUGCCAGCAUGGGGAAGAUGAAUGCUACCUUAAUAGCAUCCAUGCCUGUGUCAUCGACAUCUGGCCUGAUGUGAUUAUGCACUUCAACCUGAUUCAGUGCAUUGAAGAGCAGUCUUCUGCCAUGGGUCUUGGAAAUGGAGCAGAAGCAUUGUAUAAUGUAUGUGCAGAACAAUUGGGGUUCCCCGCAAAACCCAUUAAGGAUUGCCAUGAAAGCGCGCGUGGAAGAGAGGUUUGGCUAAUCUAUUUACACAGAACUCCACAUUGAAAUAUAAUUGAAUUCAUUGACAUGAAUGCUUCAUCCCUGAUAUGCAGCUUUUACUGCAAUACGGAAGUAGAACUGAUAGUCUCAAUCCGCCUCACAGAUAUGUACCAUGGGUGGUGGUGAAUGGAAAUCCACUCCUUGAGGUCACCCGGAAUCCAAUAUGCACAAAAUUUUGAUUCUUUUUUCUCCUCUUAUCAUCCCAAUAUUAUCUUCAUUUUUUUUUCCUGGAUGCAGAACUAUGAUAAUUUUGUAGAGUAUGUCUGCAAGUCAUACAGAGGCAAAUCUUUGCCCACAGCAUGUGUUUCAUAUCCCACCAGCUCAGUUUCUAAGGAAAGGUCACUCCACUCAGUUUGCCCUGCAGGUUUAGCAAGGCCAGCGAAGCAUCCGGCCAGGGUGCAGGAGAAUAUGGAGUCUUUGGCAUGAUUCUUGUGGUUCUUGUAUAUCAUCUCUCUGUUCAACAGGACAAGCACCUUUAUAAUACAAUAAUUAACUGGACCAUCUAUGUAUAGCUUUCUGGUCCACUUAAACUACUUCUAGUGAUGGUAGUUCAUUGAGCCAGAUGAUGUAAUUAAGGUUCU
rnacentral:misc_RNA from 1 species